AGAUUGAAAGAGACAGAGGGAAAGAUACCACCACACUGAAGUUUCUUCUGGUGUGAGUAGGGCCUGUGUUAUCUGCAUAACAAAACAGGUACACUAUCCAGGUUUCCUUUACUGUUGAAAUAACUGGUGACAGGAACAAAGAGACACUUCCCUAGGUGGGGACCACGGCCUUGAACCUGGAUUCUUGCACUCAGUUUGAUGCACCCCUGCUCAGCUUCUGUGUUUAUCAUUCUAUAUAUCUGAAUGAAAAAAAUCACCCAAAACAAUGAAAUAUUGUAUGCACGAGACCCCAGUUCAACCAGUCAAUCAAACAAACAGAAAACCCAAAGGAAUCUCUACCUUCCAAUUUUGCUGUAAACCUAGAACUACAAAUGAAAAAAAAAAAAACAGAAAGAAAGAAAGAAGAAAGAAAGAAAGAAAGAAAGGAAAAAAGAAUACUUUCUUUUAAAAAAUUAAGUCAUUGGCAUCAAAAAACCAAAUAACUAAAGAAAAAACAAAUCUGAUUCAUGGUGAAUGCUCGCAUCCAGUCUCAUUCCCGUGAGCUCCAUUUAGAGUCUGCUUCCUGGGAACCCAAACUGGACAGCAACCCAGGUCUCAAGAAGGCAGACAAGUCCUUGGAAGCCCCAAGGGUCAUCCCUUGACAGAGGACCUGCUGGUUACCAGCCUGUGAGACCAACGGCAUCAGUCGCUGGCCUAGGACAAACACUGCAGUGUUUUUCUGUAGAAGCAACUGCAGGUAGAGCCCCAGUCAACUCUGGAGCCCCCCUCCCCCACCCGUCCCUGCUGUUUGUGCGUGCGCCUGUGUGUU